rnacentral:rRNA from 1 species
UAGAGUUUGAUCAUGGCUCAGAUUGAACGCUGGCGGCAGGCCUAACACAUGCAAGUCGAGCGGUAGAGAGAAGCUUGCUUCUCUUGAGAGCGGCGGACGGGUGAGUAAUGCCUAGGAAUCUGCCUGGUAGUGGGGGAUAACGUUCGGAAACGGACGCUAAUACCGCAUACGUCCUACGGGAGAAAGCAGGGGACCUUCGGGCCUUGCGCUAUCAGAUGAGCCUAGGUCGGAUUAGCUAGUUGGUGGGGUAAUGGCUCACCAAGGCGACGAUCCGUAACUGGUCUGAGAGGAUGAUCAGUCACACUGGAACUGAGACACGGUCCAGACUCCUACGGGAGGCAGCAGUGGGGAAUAUUGGACAAUGGGCGAAAGCCUGAUCCAGCCAUGCCGCGUGUGUGAAGAAGGUCUUCGGAUUGUAAAGCACUUUAAGUUGGGAGGAAGGGCUGUAGAUUAAUACUCUGCAAUUUUGACGUUACCGACAGAAUAAGCACCGGCUAACUCUGUGCCAGCAGCCGCGGUAAUACAGAGGGUGCAAGCGUUAAUCGGAAUUACUGGGCGUAAAGCGCGCGUAGGUGGUUUGUUAAGUUGGAUGUGAAAUCCCCGGGCUCAACCUGGGAACUGCAUUCAAAACUGACUGACUAGAGUAUGGUAGAGGGUGGUGGAAUUUCCUGUGUAGCGGUGAAAUGCGUAGAUAUAGGAAGGAACACCAGUGGCGAAGGCGACCACCUGGACUAAUACUGACACUGAGGUGCGAAAGCGUGGGGAGCAAACAGGAUUAGAUACCCUGGUAGUCCACGCCGUAAACGAUGUCAACUAGCCGUUGGGAGCCUUGAGCUCU